GAUGAACGCUGGCGGCGUGCCUAAUACAUGCAAGUCGAGCGAACGGACGAGGAGCUUGCUCCUCUGACGUUAGCGGCGGACGGGUGAGUAACACGUGGAUAACCUACCUAUAAGACUGGGAUAACUUCGGGAAACCGGAGCUAAUACCGGAUAAUAUAUUGAACCGCAUGGUUCAAUAGUGAAAGACGGUUUUGCUGUCACUUAUAGAUGGAUCCGCGCCGCAUUAGCUAGUUGGUAAGGUAACGGCUUACCAAGGCAACGAUGCGUAGCCGACCUGAGAGGGUGAUCGGCCACACUGGAACUGAGACGCGGUCCAGACUCCUACGGGAGGCAGCAGUAGGGAAUCUUCCGCAAUGGGCGAAAGCUUGACGGAGCAACGCCGCGUGAGUGAUGAAGGUCUUCGGAUCGUAAAACUCUGUUAUUAGGGAAGAACAAAUGUGUAAGUAACUAUGCACGUCUUGACGGUACCUAAUCAGAAAGCCACGGCUAACUACGUG
rnacentral:rRNA from 1 species